CUUGCAGAUGAAGCAAGGCAAAGUUAUUUUAUAAAAGAGAGUCUUUAAAGGGUAGUUUUUCAUGCCUCAGAAGAUGGCAACAAAUAGAUGCUGCCGUUAUUUAUAGCACAGAGCACCUCAGAUCUCUGAGAUUAUCAGGUAUGAAAUGUUUUCGCUCUAGUUUUCAGUAAGCAAUUCAGUAUUUUUUUUCUUUUUUCUUUUUUUUUUUUUUUUUUUUUUGAUGCCUUGGCUGGAGUGCAAUGGUGUGAUCUCAGCUCACUGCAGCCUCCACCUCCUGGGUUCAAACGGUUCUCCUGCCUCAGCCUCCUGAGUAGCUGGGAUUACAGGUGCCCGCCAGCACGCCCAGCUAAUUUUUUUGUAUUUUUAGUAGAGAGAGGGUUUUGCCAUGUUUGCCAGGCUGGUCUAGAACUCCUGACCUCAAGUGAUCCGCCCGCCUUGGCCUCCCAAAGUGCUGGGAUUACAGGCUUGGGCCACCGCAUCCGGCCGCAAUUCAGUAUUUUUAAUUGCUAAAUCCAACCACUAACAAUUAAGUUCAGACAUGCACACGAGGAAGCCAAAGAAAAUGCAGUUUCAAGUGAGUGUAAAUCCAGCUCUGUGUGGCCCUGGUGAAGGAAAACAGUUGACUGGCUCGUUUUCCUACGAGCUUUUUCAAUACCAAGCGUCCUAAAUCCACCUCUGAAUUUCUUUAUCUAGCAACUCUACCUAGUAAUGGGCAGUACAGUAACAAAGCAAACAGGACUUUAGAUUAUUUCCUUUCAACUUCUAACCAUAUACACAUGGUUGAACUCAAUUUAGUCCUUUCUGCUUCCCGGUGAUAGAAUUUCUUGCACCAGACUUAAUAUCCUUGGUGUCACACCUACAAACACCUUCAUCAAAACUAGCUGCUAGUGAGCAAGAUGGCCUGAGAACAUACUGGCUUAGGUAUGCAUCCGUAUGAAGCACUCCAUUCUGUGUUGAUCUGUGGACGCAGUUUGUCACUGGUUAGUUCUGCUGAGAGCAAAUGGGUGGGUACCCAGUGGAUGAAGGGAUAUGCAGCCCUAUAUCCUUUCAGUUAUUUAAUCACAAGUUGACACUUCUCUAGCUAAAAACACUUCCCUAUUCAUUCAUCUUUCUAUUCAGUAGAAUGUCUUUUAUUAGAUGCGUUUGUGGCAAAUUUAGCUAUUUUGGUCUUUGCUUGUCAUUGCUGUCUUACUUUUUAGAAUUCCAGUUUUUACCAUACUUUAUGGGCUGUGUGUGUGUGUGUGUGUGUGUGUGUGUGUGUGUGUAUAAGUAGCUUUGAAUGGCCAAGGAUUAAUCUUAGUCAUAAAUACUCAGAUCUGUGAUUUAAUGAUAGAGCCAAUGCUACACUUCCUUCCUUGUUAUAACUUUACAUUUUUGACCUUGUUUAUUAAGCUGGGCAGAAAAUUUCUUCAACUUAAUCUGCAAUGAUUUUCACAUUGCUUUAGGUAGAUUUUGAAAAGCAGAUAUUCUGUUCUUCAUAAUUUCCUGCCUCUUAAAAAUCUUGUAUUUAAGCUAUUAUCAGAAAGUUUCCCAAAGAAGCAUACAAACAUAGAAUAAGGAUGGCGUUUUUAUUUAUUCCAUGUUCAUGGGAUCACAAAUCUUUGAGCACGUGUAAGGGGGUAUGGCUUCCAGCAAAUGGGCAGGUGAUGGGGCACAGAGGAGGAGUCCGCUGCAGAGAGUCAAUGGAUAUGAAGGGGUUCCCGUUCCCCAGCUCAGCAGAUGGGCAGUUCCUAAGUGGGUUGUACCUCUGUCUUCAGGUAGCAGUUCUGAGGGCUGCAGUCAGGGUUCUGUACUGGUCUCUUAUUGUGAAAUUUUCUAAAAGGUUAGUUUGAUUCUGGGGAAUUGGAUCUUAUUUUUACUAGAGCUGGGGAGGCAGCUCUAGUAAAGACCCCUGAAAAACAAGGGGUUAAGCAGUAUUUAAACAAGAUCCUUUUAGUUUUUCCACAGCUGAUCCAAGCCAGAUUUAAUAGCAGCGGGAUCAUGGACAAGUGAUAAUGCCUCUUUAAGCAUUAGGGUUCCCAUCUGUAAUGUCAGGAUAACAUACACCUCUAAGGUUUUUAUGGGGGUUAAAUAAGGCUAUAUUCAUAAUGUACAUUUAAUAUAGCCAUGGGUAAGUGCAUGAUUUUAGGUAGAAAAGUGUUAUCCAAGUCCAUUUGUCUCACAGUUCUUAGUAUAUUAGUCACAAGCUCCAAGAACAUCCCAUUUAUACACAAAAAGUUUCAAGGUAGAUUGAUUCAACUAUUUUGUAAUAAAUGCUUGAAGGAAUCAAUCAGUAACUCCACAGUGGCUUAGAUGAAAAGUCAUUUAAUUAUAAUAAAACUUCUAUAAAUGGAUAGGGAUUAUUAUCCCUACUUGACAGUCGAAAAAAACAAGGCUUGGGAACAACUUGGCUGACACAAGGUCAUUUCUGAUGAGUAGCAGAACUUUUCAGCCACAAGCCCCAUGGUCCUAUUAGGCCCAUCAGAAAGCAGCCAUUGCCUAUAAGUAAAUGGACAGGUCUGUUCCAUGGAACACACAAUUACUUUAAAUUUUUAAGCUAUAAUAAAAGUAUUUCACUGAUGUUAUGUUUUUUGAGAAUUUCACUGAUCUCUGUUGUGAUAAGCGGAGAAGCACUGGUUUAGGUACUGAAGUCAGCUCUCUCCCUCCCUCCAAUAAAAUCUACACCACGAUAUGGAUUUCAACCCAGACUUUUCUUCGAAUCCCAGUCUUCUGUCACUGAUUGAGAAUAAAUACACAGAAGGUGUCUUUGAAUUCAUACAAAGCAGCACUUAAAUUUGAGUGGAACAUUAUGCCCUAAGAUAGAAAGACAUGUUUACAAGGCUCUACGGAGGCUCCCCUACACAAACCAAAGCCGUUGUUUCAAAUUAGAGCUUAUCUAGAGAUUCAGAGAGGCUGCCAGAAUCCUCCAGCCAAACUCUGACUGGUUUGUAUUUCCAUGUUUGAUCAAAGAUACAAUGCUGAGUGUGGCUGAAAGAAACAGCUUGUUGUCAACAAUACAGAAGGAUUGCACAGUGAGUGCAGUGUUUUGUUUGAUUCCAUUAAGCAUGCUGCCAGAGCCUACUGUGCAUGUGAGGUACCCAAUUAAUCUAAGUCCACAUUGGAAUGUGAUUAAUGUAAGCCCACAUUGGACGUCCACGUCUGAAAGAUUCAAGCCACAGAUGCUACCAUGGAUGUUUAUUCUUUGUGUGGAAAACACUCAGUUUUUGCAUAAACCAUGUGUGUACAUAAGGGCUAUUAGUGUGGCAUCAACAGAGGUUAGGGGUGGGCAGUGGGACUGAGUUUCCAAAUAGGUCCUUGUGGCCUCCUGAUUUAAUAUCCGAGUUAUGGGCAGCCUCAUGGGUGUCUCCUACUUUUAUUAAGAAGACACUGAUUGACCAAUCCAAGGAGGGAGAGGAAAGAGCCUUUGCCUCUUCAUCGUCCUGACAGGCUCACCAAAUUACAUGUAGCAUGACCAAAGAACAACACAAACCCAUCAGCUACUGUGGCAGCGAGUGUCUGAAAACAGUCUGCACCAUUAAUUGGGAGAGCUGGUGGUGGAGAGGUGGCUCACGCCUAGUGCCUGAGAAGGGGACAGGAGGUGUGACUUCACGGCCAGUCAAGUCGGGACUUCCAGGAGCAUUAGUGUGAGUCUCUAGUGCAUUUUCACAGUCAUCUGGGGUCCUAAUUAGCAGUAUGUUUUGAAAAACAUUUUGACUGUGUGCAAGGUCUCCUCCACGCUCAAAAUAUUGUAACCAAAAGCCUUCCAAAUUAAGGUGGAUUUUUAAGCAGGAAUUUUCUCAUUUUCUUCCUCCUUCAAUUUCUACAACACACUUUCAAAGGAAAAGAAGUACACCUGUGAUAUGUACAUUUUUGGCAUAUUUCAAAGCCCUCAGGGCAGUUCUGCCUGGCCCUCAGUCAUAGACGAGGUAGAGACACUCUGAUUCUAUUUGUGGUUGUAUUUACAUCCAUGUCUGGGAAGCCCUUAUGGAAUUCUGUUUCUCUGGUUAUUUGGAGUGCAUGGUGCCCAAUUGUUUAGUUUUGGUGGUGCUUGAGGGCAUGCUCUAAAUACAUCCAGGUUUGUGCACAAAUACCACAGCUCCGUAGGACCCUUGUUUAGUUCAACUUUCCAAAUUUUAGCGUGAACAGACAAAGGUAACGAGAGUUUUGGGAGACUGUCCUGCCUCCUUGGAGAUGUUUUCCACUUCUAGAGCUGAGGGGCUGGAAGAGGGAUCAUGAGGAUCAUGGAGCUCCACUCAUGUAGUUUAUAGAUAAGAAAAUCCAGAGCCUGGCCAGGUGCGGUGGCUUACAUCUUAAUCCCGGCACUUUGGGAGGCUGAGGUGGAUGGAUUGUUUGAGACCAGGAGUUUGAGACCAGCCUAGGCAACAUGGCAAAACCCUGUCUCUAUUAAAAAUACAAAAAUUAACUGGGCGUGAUGGUGCACACCUGUAGUCCCAGCUACUCCAGAGGCGUGAGAAUUGCUUGAACCCAGGAGGUGGAGGUCGCAGUGAGCUGAGACUGCACACUACUACACUCCAGCCUGGGCAACAAAGUAAGACACUGCCAAAGAAGGAGGGAGGGAAGGAAGGAAGGAAGGAGGGAGAGAGGAGAGAGAGAGAGAGAACAGGAAGGAAGGAAGGGAGAAAGGAGAGACAGAGAGAGAGGAAGGAAGGAAGGGAGAAAGAGAGAGAGAAAGAGAGGAAGGAAGGAAGGAGAAAGAAAGAUAAAGAAAGAAAAAGAAAGAAAAGAGGAAGGAAGGAAGGAGAGAGGGAAGGAGAGAAAAGGAAAGGAAAAGGAAAAGAGGAAAGAAAAGGAAAGGGAAGGGAGAGGGAAAGGAGAAGGGAAAGGAAGAGAAGGGAAGAAGGGAAGGGAGAAGAGACAAGGGAAAGGAGAAGGGAAAAGGGAAAGGAGAAGGGAAGGGAGAAGGGAAGGGAGCAAAAGGGAAGGAAAGAAAGAAAGGAAAGGAAAGGAAAGAAAGAAAAGGAAAGGAAAGAAAGAAAACCCAGAGCCUAAGAUGACAGUAUCUAAAGCUUUGUGUGUGAUGGGCUGGUGCAGAUAUAGUAGUCACAGUUCUUUCCUUAGGCUCUCACUUGGCUUUGGAGUGGGACGGGGAAGAGUUGGAGCCCCACAGUGGGUGGGGGAGGGCAAGGGCGUAGACACAGGGCUGUCCUGCUGCUGGCUGAGCACGAGGUGGGCUUGGCACAAGGUAGGCAACACAGAGUUUCUGUGUACAAGCAUCAAAUCCUUUGAAUCAAUCUUGGGUAUAGUCAAGGUUUUCCUCUUUGCUCUUGAAAGACUGUGAUCCUCAUGGCUUUUCCAUGAGGAUCUCCAGUACCAAAUUCUCCAGCACUAUGGGCUGUAGUGGCUACCCAGGAAGGAAUGGUGGUAAGAAGAAAUAAUGUAGCAAAAGAGUAGCACUUUCAAAGGAUAAGAGAGUCCCUUAUCUGAAAUGCUUGGGACUAGAAGUGUUUUGAAGUUCUGCUUUUUUUCAGAUUGUGGAAUAUUUGCAUUAUACUUACCAGUGGAGCAUACCAAAUCCAAAAAUCCCAAAUCUGAAAUGUUCCAAUGAGCAUUUCCUUUGAACAUCACGUCAGUGCUCAGAAGGUUUUGGAUUCUGGAGCAUUUCAGAUUUUGGAUUUGGGGAUUUGGGAUGCUCAACUUGUUCUAUUGUUUCUUUUUGAAUCAAACUAGGUCAGAUGAACCGAAGACCUAAAUUUGACUAAGCCAUUGAAAUGCUUACUUGGACACUUCAUUAACAGUAAAACACUCAAUUGUUUUCUUAUAAAAACAGAAGACUCCAUCUAAAGAAUUCCAGGAUCUUUUGCAAAUGGUACCCCAAAUGACAAUAUUGCCUUAUCAUCUAUUCCUGAAUGCACCUGUCCUGCUGUCUUACUCCUUUGCUAAUUGCAAACACAGACAUUUUAACAAGUUACAUGCUUACCUACCAUGUGGAUAGUCUAUUCCAAGGAGGUACAGAAUGGCCUUGGGUUCCAAAGGUGUUUUAAAGAUGUUAGGAUGUUCAUCCCUGCGACGUUGUUAUAAUGAAUCUGCUAAUUUUCUUAGAUACCACAGGUACUUGGUGGCAUAUCUGUUAUGGGGGGCAGAUACUUAGCUACUCAGGUCCCUAAGGCACAGGCUUCAUAAGAAUUAUUCUGCUUUUUUGAGGCCUAUUCUUGCAAUUAGGUGCAGUUAGCACCUCUAUUCUAGUUUUGGAAUUUGCCUAAAUUGUCAAUAGUUUUGGAAUUUGCCUAAAAUUUCUAUUUGCCUAAAAUUCCAAUUGUUUUUCAGCUCUUUGACAACAAUUAAGGUCAAGGUCAAGUGUUUCAAUGGGCUUCAACUAUGAGCUUAUUGGAUUAGUGAUCAGAAAAUCUGAUUAUAGCUACUACUUAGCCUUAAGAUCUUGCUUAGAUGUAUCAAAUGAGAUAGUUUAUUUUUCUGUAAGUCAGUGAGAAAAUGUUGUAAAACACUUUUUUUUAAUUUAUGGUUCAAUAUGAAUGCCAGACUUAUAUCUGUUUUCUACUCAGCAUCUUCUCUUGGCUAAUAAGCUUGUCCAACUUACCCUGUCUAAAAUCCAAUUCCCUCCCUCCUCUACCAAAAACACCAAACGCUCAUUCCUAGUCCUCUUCUUCUCAAUAAAAUACAGAUGUGUUUUUCUAAUUAUUUGCUCAGAUAAAAAAUCAGGGAGUCCUUCUUAAUGCCUUUUCCAUUUUCCAUAUCCCACAUCCAGUCUGUCACCAUAUAUAUGCUCUUGGUUGUAUCUGCAAAACACAUCCAGAAUCUAGCCACCUCUCCUACCUCCACUGCCACUGCCCUGUUCAAGCCAUGAUUGUUUCUUGCCUGAACUAUUGCAGUGGUCUCCUAACUGGUCACUCUGUGCUUCCGCCCUUAUCCUCUUUAAUCCAUUCUCAGCACAGCAGCCAAACUGACGAUGUCACCCCUCUGCUCCAGGUCCUCCCACGGCUCCUCCCAUCUCACUGUGAACACAGCACAGCUGGACAUAACUACCAACAUGGCGCCUGUUUACUUUCUGCUGCACUCAUAGGCUCAUUAAAUGAGGUUUCUAGGAUUUCUGGUGUCUAACCCUGCUUUGACAGAGCCUAAGGUAUUUGUUACAUCUGUUAUAUUAAGAAAUAAACCUUAAAUCUCAUGAUGACUCACAAAAGACACUAUACUCUCACAAGGAAAAAAUAUUUCUUUGAACCCUAACCCUAUGAGGAAGGUACAAGAUUCAGUAUUUUACAAGUAGAAUAAUUAAGCAUUGAUUGAUUUGCUGAGCUUACCAUAGCUAGGGAGUUAUCUCCUCAAAUGCUGGUUUUCUGACACCUUCUGUGUUAGCGAUUGUUGUAUGAGCGGCUGAUGUGUUAAUUUAGUUAUAGACUAACUUCAUCCUUUGCUUUUGUAACUUCUCACUCCUUAUUUUUAACCUUUUCAGUGGGUUCUGCCAGUUCCAGAAGAUUUAUCAGUUUUUAAAGAAACAUCACAUUUUGGUUCAAGUUCUCUCUCUAAAAACCUUUGUCAUCAUUUAGCACAUUACAAAUAGUGGCAUGUAGUCCCAGGCUGCAUGUCAAAGGUAAUUAAAUCUCAGGAGUUGGUCAGGAUUCAUAAACUGCUUAAGCUCCAUGCCUGCUCUUCACAGAUGUGGCAUGACUUUGUGAUUAAAUUCCAGUUUGGUAUUCAGUCUGGGACCACUUAUGCUUUUGCUUGUAUAAAGUGGUAUAUGUUUUCAAUAAAGAUUAGCGGAACUAUGUAAGAAA